UAUUUGUUUUUUUAUGUGUGUAUGUAUGUAUACAUAUAUAUAUAUAGAUGAUAUCUGUCAUGUUUUUGUUUUGUAAUGACUUCAAAUGUUAAUUUUAAAUUAUUCUUUAUAUUUUUCUAUGCAGUCAUGAAUGAAGCAGCUUAUAAACAUAUGCUGGUUUGUAUAGCUCAAUGCUAGCCUACCAAAAUACUAUAGUGAAAUAGUAUAAUAUUUUCUAGCUUUCAAAGUUAUUUUUAAGUCAACAGGAUAUUUUAAUAGAUGAAUGAUAACAAAUAAAAUCAUUUCACAAUACGCUUUCAGCUGAAGGCCAUCAUGAGGAUUGAUCUGCUUGACUUUAAGCAGCCAUGCUUAUGAUGCUAGCAUAUCGAUGCCCUUGUACACAAGCUGACACCUGCUCACUGCACUCUGCGAACCUCAGCUACAUGAGGGUGGAGCUCGGCGUGCCGUCUAUCCAAAAACGGCAGUUAUCAGUAUGGUUCAACCGUCCUCCUGAAAUUACGUGGAGCGGAAUGUCAUGUACCCAGCGGUUACACCAACAUAUGCAUAAUCUGUGUAUGUGUGCGGGUGUGAGAUUGAACGUUUUUGUAGGUUUGAAUUUGUGAGAGACAGAGUAGGAGUGUAAGCAGUGUCAUGUUAUAAUAGUAAGUUAUUGGUAGCUUCAUUUUUAAAUAAAUAAUUAAUUUGGGACAUUUGUCAUUUGAAAAGUAAUUUAAAGUAUCUAUAUUUGUAUAUCUGUGGUUAGAUUCGACUUUUUAAUAUUUUCUUUAAUGUAUAUAUUAAUGAUAGAAUGAGAGAUUUUUUGGUGUUGUGUGUGUGUGUGUGUGUGUGCGUGUGCGAACGGAUGAGUUGCUGUAACGGCCUUCAUGAACCAGAGAAGAGCUGCAUGAACUGAAAUGUUUAGAUGCCAUAGAAAUACGUCAUACACAGUCCAACCCAUUGGCACACACCUAGUAAAUAGCUGCACUCAAUAACAAGCAUUUCAUAAAGGCGAACAUAAAUGAAGAAUCUCUCUCUUGAUCUCUCUCACACCCACCCACCCACCCAC